UACGGGAGGCAGCAGUGGGGAAUGGACAAUGGGGGAAACCCUGAUCCAGCCAUCCUGCGUGCGAUGAAGCGCCUUCAAGAAAAGCACUUUUGGCAGGAAAGAAACGGCAUUACCUCGUGCAACUGACGGUACCUGCAGAAUAAGCACCGGCUAACUACGUGCCAGCAGCCGCGGUAAUACGUAGGGUGCAAGCGUUAACGGAAUUACUGGGCGUAAGCGUGCGCAGGCGGUUCUGGAAAGAAAGAUGUGAAAUCCCAGAGCUAACUUUGGAACUGCAUUUUUAACUACUGAGCUAGAGUGUCAGAGGGAGGUGGAAUUCGUGUGUAGCAGUGAAAUGCGUAGAUAUGCGGAGGAACAGAUGCGGCGAAGGCAGCCUCUGGGAUAACACUGACGCUCAUGCACGAAAGCGUGGGGAGCAACACAGGAUUAGAUACCCCCGUAGU
rnacentral:misc_RNA from 1 species